AGCGAGAUAGUGUAAUGGUAGCACAAUAGCCUCAUGACCUGUUAGUUUGGGUUCAAAUCCUAAUUUCGCUA
rnacentral:tRNA from 2 species